rnacentral:ncRNA from 1 species
CUGAUACCGCGCAUGGGUGGACGUUCGUGCAACGAGCCCGUUCCUGAACAUUCAGGAUGCGUUCAUUUCAG